rnacentral:tRNA from 1 species
GCUGGGGCUCAGUGGUAGUGCACUUGCCUGACACGUAUGAGGCACUGGGUUCAGUUCUCAGCACCGCA